rnacentral:lncRNA from 1 species
GGGAAGGUCAGACUGGGCCAGGCCAAUCUAGGAUUGCAAUCUAGGAUUGCAAAGCACCAUUCCUUUAGGUUCCUUGGUUUCCUCUUCCUCUUCCCUCUUCCUCUUUCUCUCUGCUGUGGGGUGACUUUUCAGACUUUCACAAUCAAUAAUGAUUAACACUUUAGUCUCCUUAACCUGUAACCUGAAUAUAUGACUUCUGGCCUCAAGGAGUUAACAAACCAAGUUAUAAUGCAAUAAUCAUAGUCUAAAGAAUAGAAGAAACUGAGAAAUCUUCAAUCAGCCAGAAGAUGACUCCUUCAGAGAAUAAGUUCCCAUUCAAAGUAUGCUUUGGGGAAGGGGGUGGUAAGCCUUUAUGAUGAGCAGCGAGAGUCGGAGUAUCUGGAUUUGGAGCUAGAGAAUGUGGGUUCAAAUCCUGAUGCUGCUGGGUGGAACCUGAAGUGAGCCUUAAAGGAAAACAGGGAAUCCGUGAGGCAGAAGUGGGAAGAGAGAGCAUUGAAGGCAUGGGCAAAUCAGGGCCUCGGUUUCCUAAUCUGUAAAAAGAGAGUAUUGGAUGAGAUGACGUUUAAAGUCCCAUCCAGCUCUAUUAUCUCAUGAUUGGGAAUCUCUUGUCAACAACACCACAGACUCUUUGUGUGACCUGAGAACAGCCUUUUCUCUGCUCUAGUAGAAUAAGGGUGAGAAUGCUGCCUCCUUUCCUACUUCACAGAUUGGUGGGGAGAGAGAACACAAGAAAGCUGGGCUUCAGUGAAAAUUAAAUGUGAAGGGAGGAAUGUGUAUAAAGUAAUUGGAGGAAAGAAAAUUGCAAAGUACUAUGUUUUGUCUGCAGCUUCCUCUGUAAUGAAUAAUUGGACUCUUCAGGGCCCUGUGGCUUUCUUUGGGGGAAAAGUAUUUGGUUUCAACAAUUCCCUGGUGUUAAGCUGAAGCUCCAAUGCCUCCUGACAU